CCAACAUCACCAAUCCAAAUUUUCACAUUUGGGCAAGCACCAUAUAACUCCUCUCGUAUAUUAUUGGCUGCCCAUAUUACCUAUCCAUGCUCUAUGUCAAUUGGUCACCUUUGCUUCAUAUAAAGAUCCUUAGAUAUAAAGUUUAUCUUUGAACCAUGGUAAAUCAAAGCAACAACUGGCUCGUCUAUAUCUCGAACCUUCACUAAUACCUCUAUAGUUGCUCUUGUCCAAUACUUCUUAGUAUAAUGACUUGAAACCUUUCUAUCUUUAUUACCUUGAUCAAUAAAAUAUACUCUUUGAUUAUGACUCCUCCCUUCACUUGUUGAUUAUUUAUAACAAUUAUCAAAUAUAUCUUCUUCAUCUUCAUAUAUGUGUGUAUCAAUAGCAUGAUUCAAUCCAAUUUCUUCCAUUAAUUGUCUCUUUUAUUUAAUACUAUCAAUAAUAACAUCAUGAAAUUCUUUCUUGGUAAUUCCUAAA
rnacentral:lncRNA from 1 species